CUCGUAGACUCCUACGGGAGGCAGCAGUGGGGAAUAUUGCACAAUGGGCGCAAGCCUGAUGCAGCCAUGCCGCGUGUAUGAAGAAGGCCUUCGGGUUGUAAAGUACUUUCAGCAGUGAGGAAGGUGGGUAUGUUAAUAGCAUACUCAUUUGACGUUAGCUGCAGAAGAAGCACCGGCUAACUCCGUGCCAGCAGCCGCGGUAAUACGGAGGGUGCGAGCGUUAAUCGGAAUUACUGGGCGUAAAGCGCAUGCAGGUGGUUUGUUAAGUCAGAUGUGAAAGCCCCGGGGCUCAACCUCGGAAUUGCAUUUGAAACUGGCAAACUAGAGUACUGUAGAGGGGGUAGAAUUUCAGGUGUAGCGGUGAAAUGCGUAGAGAUCUGAAGGAAUACCGGUGGCGAAGGCGGCCCCCUGGACAGAUACUGACACUCAGAUGCGAAAGCGUGGGGAGCAAACAGGAUUAGAUACCCUGGUAG
rnacentral:rRNA from 1 species